UAUAUGAGAUGCUUUGUCAUCGUCACCAUGUCCCCAACCUUUUGGCUGCAUCUCAGGUUCUCUGCUCGGCAAUAAGCGGGGGUCAGUCAGACUGUCGAACGGUCAUGCUAAGGUCAAACCAUGAAUGAAAUUAGUUAAACUAAGUGUUAUUAUGCGCUGCUUAAAUCAAUAUGAGAUGCUGCGAUAUAGGUGUGGGCGGCGUUCAGAGGUGAAGCUUGAUGACGCUAAUAAGAGCCUCGACGAAGGGAAGCAGCGAGACGGGAGACACAAAUGGAGGCAAGGCGAGGAGGGGAAAAGGGCGGUGCACUGACGUUGAGGCAGAAGCGAGGGAGGUGACAUGGGUGGCAAGAGGCAAGCAGAUAAAAAAGAGAGAAGAAAGAAAGGAGAAAUAGGACGAAAGAAAAAUAAAGAAAGAAAAGAGAGGAAAAUAAGGGUAUCAUAAAUAUUUCACUUUUAUCUAUACCACGAGAAGCUAUUUUAUCGCUUCUAGAGAGGAGAUGUCUCCAACCCACUUUUUAUCUAGUUAUUUUAGCGAAUGUUCUUCUAGAGGACAUGCCCGUUACCAAAUAAAGUUGUUCCAUAGAGGAGUCAGAGCCACACAAGUUUUAGGCCAUGUUUAACAGAUUUUCCAGAGCUUUCUUUGUAGGAGCUUUACCAAAUAGUUCUGUGAAGUGAUUCUCUAAAAUAAACUA
rnacentral:lncRNA from 1 species